ACUCAAAUGAAUUGACGGGGGCCCGCACAAGCAGCGGAGCGUGUGGUUUAAUUCGAUGCAACGCGAAGAACCUCACCUAGGCUUGACAUGGCUGAAGUAGAACCCUGAAAGGGGAACGACCCGUAAAGUCGGGAGCAGUCACAGGUGCUGCAUGGCUGUCGUCAGCUCGUGCCGUGAGGUGUUGGGUUAAGUCCCGCAACGAGCGCAACCCUCGGCGUUAGUUACCAUGUCUAACGCGACCGCCGGUUUCAAACCGGAGGAAGGUGGGGAUGACGUCAAGUCAGCACGGCCCUUACGCCUAGGGCUACACACACGCUACAAUGGCCGGUACAACGGGACGCCAAAGGGUGACCUGGAGCAAAUCCCAUCAAAACCGGUCUCAGUUGGGAUUGGAGGCUGCAACUCGCCUCCAUGAACGCGGAGUUGCUAGUAACCGCAGGUCAGCACACUGCGGUGAAUACGUUCCCGGGCCUUGUACACACCGCCCGU
rnacentral:rRNA from 1 species